rnacentral:rRNA from 1 species
CCUACGGGAGGCUGCAGUGGGGGAUAUUGCACAAUGGGGGAAACCCUGAUGCAGCGACGCCGCGUGUGGGAAGACGGUCCUCUGGAUUGUAAACCACUGUCCCCAGGGACGAAGAUGACGGGACCGGGGGAGGAAGCGCCGGCUAACUACGUGUCAGCAGCCGCGGUAAUACGGAGGGAGCGAGCGUUGUCCGGAAUUACUGGGUGUCAAGGGAGCGGAGGCGGGGAUGCAAGUUGGGUGUCAAAACUACCGGCUCAACUGGUAGUCGCACUCAAAACUGCAGCUCUUGAGUGACGUAGCGGCCGGCGUCCUUCCUUGUAGCGGUGCAAUGCGUAGAUAUUAGGAGGACCACCAGUGGCGAAGGCGGCCUGCUGGGCUUUUCCUGACGCUGAGGCUCGAAAGUGUGGGGAGCAAACAGGAUUAGAUACCCUAGUAGUC